rnacentral:rRNA from 1 species
GGAUUCCCCCAGUAACUGCGAGUGAAAAGGGAAGAGCCCAGCGCCGAAGCCGCCGUCCAUCACAGUGGGCGGAGGGCAAUGUGGCGUUAAGGAAGAGCCUCCUUGACCAGACGUUUCGUUGUUCGGACCGCGGGAGCCCGAGUCCCCCUGACCGGGGCCAUCGCCCAUGGCGGGUGCAAGGCCUCUUCGGCUCCGUUCGACGGUUCGAAGGUUGCUGGCUUCUUUCCUCAGAGUCGGGUUGCUUGAGAGUGCAGCCCUAAGCGGGUGGUAAACUCCACCUAAGGCUAAAUAUCACCACGAGACCGAUAGCGAACAAGUACCGUGAGGGAAAGUUGCAAAGAACUUUGAAGAGAGAGUUCAAGAGUACGUGAAACCGCUCGGAGGCAAACGGGUGGGCCCUCGAAGGUCGAACGGGGGAAUUCAGCCUGUCGGCGAGCGCUUCCCGCUGUUGAAAAGCAUUCGUGCGAAACGGAUCCGAAAACAAAGCGGACCGGGCGGCGGGUUUCAAAACAUAAAAAGCGUUUGUCGGCUCGUGCACUUUCCCCUUAGUAGGACGCCGCGACCGGUCGGGUCGAAUAUCAAAAAGUUUUGCGGCCAUGAGGCGAGAACGAUCACGGGGGCAGGUGUCCGUUUCCGCGGGUCUCGUUCAGCGUGCGCGGCGAUCUCGGUCGUCGCGUCUUCGUCUGGCGUUUCCUAGGUUCGGAGUUACAGCCCCUUCUCGACCCGUGCACCGCCACCCGACCGACAAAUGGUCACGUAUCCGUUGACGCGUGCCCGCGUGAAACCUAAAGGUUGAACGCUCGCUCUAGUCCAGGGCAGGCCGGAUGUACGAGUAAAAUUCCCGCAUUGACCCGCUUUAAAAAGCGGGUAGGGGAUCCGACGGACGCCGAAAGCAAAAAACCGAAAAGGCGGCCGUCGGCUCUGCGUCUGCCGUUUCGCCCACGUGGAAUUGGACUCUGGCGUAGAGGCAAAGAAACGCUCGCGGUCGGCNNNNNNNNNNNNNNNNNNNNNNNNNNNNNNNNNNNNNNNNNNNNNNNNNNNNNNNNNNNNNNNNNNNNNNNNNNNNNNNNNNNNNNNNNNNNNNNNNNNNNNNNNNNNNNNNNCAUGUGUGCAAGUCGUAGGGUCUGCUUUUUAACGAGCUAAACCCGAUGGCGAAAUGAAAGUAAAGGCCGCCCCCUUCAACGGGGGACACAGAACGGCCGAGGCGAGAUCCUAAAAAAGCCGCGCCGUUCGUCUUCGGGCGUUCGGCCGGCGAAAUUUUUAAAAGAAACCGGACAUGGCAGGCACGCCGGCCCUUCGGCGGCGUCAAAACCGUCGUUGCAGGUCGGCGGUCCGGAGGCGCAUCGCCGGCCCGUCUCGAUUGCUCCGAUCGUCCGCGCCCUUCUCUCUAUUUCCGUCGGCUCUCGGGCCUCGGAUCGGAGUCGGGCAAGGUCGUGAGGAACUGUAGUCAAUGAGGCGGAGCAAGAGCACACACGUUGGGACCCGAAAGAUGGUGAACUAUGCCCGGGCAGGACGAAGCCAGAGGAAACUCUGGUGGAGGUCCGCAGCGAUUCUGACGUGCAAAUCGAUCGUCGGACCUGGGUAUAGGGGCGAAAGACUAAUCGAACCGUCUAGUAGCUGGUUCCCUCCGAAGUUUCCCUCAGGAUAGCUGGCGCUCGGAAUACGAAAAAUAACAAAAAUGAUGAAACAGUCUCAUCCGGUAAAGCGAAUGAUUAGAGGCAUUGGGGCCGAAACGGCCUCAACCUAUUCUCAAACUUUCAAUGGGUGAGAUGUCCGGCUUUCUUAACGCUAAACACGGGGGGCGGAUUUCGUCCGGAGCCCGCGGGCGUGUCGCUUCUUUUUCUUUCUCGUCGGUCUUUUCGGAGGUCGUCGGGGGGUUGGAGAUGGCUUCGCGCUUUAGCGGAUACUUCGGCGGCCGCGCAACCCUUUGAAGCACGGACGUAGGAUGCGAGUGCCCAGUGGGCCACUUUUGGUAAGCAGAACUGGCGCUAUGGGAUGAACCAAAAGCCGGGUUACGGCGCCCGAUGCGGACGCUUAUCAGACCCCAUGAAAGGUGUUGGUUGCUAUUGACAGCAGGACGGUGGCCAUGGAAGUCGGAAUCCGCUAAGGAGUGUGUAACAACUCACCUGCCGAAGCAACUAGCCCUGAAAAUGGAUGGCGCUCCAGCGUCGAGCCUAACCCCGGCCGCCGGACGGCAUUGAAAAUUGAACUGAUUAUAAAAAAUCGAUGCCCCGGCGAGUAGGAGGGUCGCGGUGGUGAGCGUUGAAGGGAUCGGGCGCGAGCCUGCCUGGAGCCGCCACCGGUGCAGAUCUUGGUGGUAGUAGCAAAUACUCGAGUGAGAACCUUGAGGACUGAAGUGGAGAAGGGUUCCAUGUGAACAGCAGUUGAACAUGGGUCAGUCGGCCCUAAGGAAUAGGGGAAACCCGUUCUGA